UGACAGUCGAACGAUGAACCACUUCGGUGGGGAUUAGUGGCGAACGGGUGAGUAACACGUGGGCAAUCUGCCCUUCACUCUGGGACAAGCCCUGGAAACGGGGUCUAAUACCGGAUAACACUGCGGAUCGCAUGGUCUACGGUUAAAAGCUCCGGCGGUGAAGGAUGAGCCCGCGGCCUAUCAGCUUGUUGGUGAGGUAAUGGCUCACCAAGGCGACGACGGGUAGCCGGCCUGAGAGGGCGACCGGCCACACUGGGACUGAGACACGGCCCAGACUCCUACGGGAGGCAGCAGUGGGGAAUAUUGCACAAUGGGCGAAAGCCUGAUGCAGCGACGCCGCGUGAGGGAUGACGGCCUUCGGGUUGUAAACCUCUUUCAGCAGGGAAGAAGCGAAAGUGACGGUACCUGCAGAAGAAGCGCCGGCUAACUACGUGCCAGCAGCCGCGGUAAUACGUAGGGCGCAAGCGUUGUCCGGAAUUAUUGGGCGUAAAGAGCUCGUAGGCGGCUUGUCACGUCGAUUGUGAAAGCCCGAGGCUUAACCUCGGGUCUGCAGUCGAUACGGGCUAGCUAGAGUUCGGUAGGGGAGAUCGGAAUUCCUGGUGUAGCGGUGAAAUGCGCAGAUAUCAGGAGGAACACCGGUGGCGAAGGCGGAUCUCUGGGCCGAUACUGACGCUGAGGAGCGAAAGCGUGGGGAGCGAACAGGAUUAGAUACCCUGGUAGUCCACGCCGUAAACGGUGGGCACUAAGGUGUGGGCAACAUUCCACGUUGUCCGUGCCGCAGCUAACGCAUUAAGUGCCCGCCCGGGGGAGUACGGCCGCAAGGCUAAAACUCAAAGGAAUU
rnacentral:rRNA from 1 species